AACGAACGCUGGCGGCAGGCCUAACACAUGCAAGUCGAACGGAUGUAGUAAUACAUUAGUGGCGCACGGGAGAGUAACACGUGGGAAUCUACCUUUUGGUUCGGAAUAACGUCGGGAAACUGACGCUAAUACCGGAUAAGCCCUACGGGGGAAAGUUUUUCGCCAAAAGAUGAGCCCGCGCUAGAUUAGCUUGUUGGUGAGGUAAUGGCUCACCAAGGCUACGAUCUAUAGCUGGUCUGAGAGGAUGACCAGCCUCACUGGGACUGAGACACGGCCCAGACUCCUACGGGAGGCAGCAGUGGGGAAUAUUGGACAAUGGGGGAAACCCUGAUCCAGCCAUGCCGCGUGAAUGAUGAAGGCCUUCGGGUUGUAAAGUUCUUUUGGUAGGGACGAUGAUGACGGUACCUACAGAAUAAGCUCCGGCUAACUUCGUGCCAGCAGCCGCCGUAA
rnacentral:rRNA from 1 species